rnacentral:rRNA from 1 species
UACAGAGGGGGCAAGCGUUGUUCGGAAUUACUGGGCGUAAAGGGCGCGUAGGCGGCCUGUUAAGUCGAACGUGAAAUCCCCGGGCUCAACCCGGGAACUGCGUCCGAUACUGGGAGGCUUGAAUCCGGGAGAGGGAUGUGGAAUUCCAGGUGUAGCGGUGAAAUGCGUAGAUAUCUGGAGGAACACCGGUGGCGAAGGCGGCAUCCUGGACCGGUAUUGACGCUGAUGCGCGAAAGCCAGGGGAGCAAACGGG